GAUGAACGCUGGCGGCGUGCUUAACACAUGCAAGUCGAACGAUGAAGCCCAGCUUGCUGGGUGGAUUAGUGGCGAACGGGUGAGUAACACGUGAGUAACCUGCCCUUGACUCUGGGAUAAGCCCGGGAAACUGGGUCUAAUACCGGAUAGGAGCGCCUGUCGCAUGACGGGUGUUGGAAAGAUUUUUCGGUCAUGGAUGGACUCGCGGCCUAUCAGCUUGUUGGUGAGGUAAUGGCUCACCAAGGCGACGACGGGUAGCCGGCCUGAGAGGGUGACCGGCCACACUGGGACUGAGACACGGCCCAGACUCCUACGGGAGGCAGCAGUGGGGAAUAUUGCACAAUGGGCGGAAGCCUGAUGCAGCGACGCCGCGUGAGGGAAUGACGGCCUUCCGGGUUGUAAACCUUCUUUCCAUAAGGG
rnacentral:rRNA from 1 species